AUUGAACGCUGGCGGCGUGCCUAACACAUGCAAGUCGAGCGGUAACAGGUGUAGCAAUACAUGCUGACGAGCGGCGAACGGGUGAGUAAUGCUUCGGAAUCUGCCCAAUGGUGGGGAAUAACCAGCCGAAAGGUUGGCUAAUACCGCAUACGUCCUACGGGAGAAAGCAGGGGAUCGUAAGACCUUGCGCCAAUGGAUGAGCCGAAGUCGGAUUAGCUAGUUGGUAGGGUAACGGCCUACCAAGGCGACGAUCCGUAGCUGGUCUGAGAGGACGACCAGCCACACUGGGACUGAGACACGGCCCAGACUCCUACGGGAGGCAGCAGUGGGGAAUAUUGGACAAUGGGGGAAACCCUGAUCCAGCGACGCCGCGUGUGUGAAGAAGGCCUGCGGGUUGUAAAGCACUUUUAGUGGGGAUGAAAAGUCCAGGGCUAAUACCUCUGGAUCUUGACCUAACCCACAGAAAAAGCACCGGCUAACUCUGUGCCAGCAGCCGCCGUAACAC
rnacentral:rRNA from 1 species